rnacentral:rRNA from 1 species
AGAGUUUGAUCAUGGCUCAGAACGUACGCUGGCGGCACGCCUAAUACAUGCAAGUCGAACGAAGUAGCAAUACUUAGUGGCAGACGGGUGAGUAACAUGUAGGUAUCUUCCCUUUGGUGAGGAAUAACACGAGGAAACUUGUGCUAAUACCUCAUAAGUCUUUACGGAGAAAGCUUUAUGCGCCAUUGGAUGAGCCUGCACUUGAUUAGUUUGUUGGUAGGGUAAUGGCCUACCAAGACAAUGAUCAAUAGCUGAUUUGAGAGGAUGAUCAGCCACAUUGGGACUGAGACACGGCCCAAACUCCUACGGGAGGCAGCAGUAGGGAAUCUUGCACAAUGGGGGAAACCCUGAUGCAGCGAUGCCGCGUGAGUGAAGAAGGCCCUUGGGUUGUAAAGCUCUUUCGUCGGGGAAGAAAAUGACUGUACCCGAAUAAGAAGGUCCGGCUAACUUCGUGCCAGCAGCCGCGGUAAUACGAAGGGACCUAGCGUAGUUCGGAAUUACUGGGCUUAAAGAGUUCGUAGGUGGUUAAAAAAGUUGGUGGUGAAAUCCCAGAGCUUAACUCUGGAACUGCCAUCAAAACUUUUUAGCUAGAGUAUGAUAGAGGAAAGCAGAAUUUCUAGUGUAGAGGUGAAAUUCGUAGAUAUUAGAAAGAAUACCAAUUGCGAAGGCAGCUUUCUGGAUCAUUACUGACACUGAGGAACGAAAGCAUGGGUAGCGAAGAGGAUUAGAUACCCUCGUAGUCCAUGCCGUAAACGAUGUGUGUUAGACGUUGGAAAUUUAUUUUCAGUGUCGCAGCGAAAGCAAUAAACACACCGCCUGGGGAGUACGACCGCAAGGUUAAAACUCAAAUGAAUUGACGGGGACCCGCACAAGUAGUGGAGCAUGUGGUUUAAUUCGAAGAUACGCGCAGAACCUUACCAACACUUGACAUGUUCGUCGCGACUUUAAGAGAUUAAAGUUUUCGGUUCGGCCGGACGAAACACAGGUGCUGCAUGGCUGUCGUCAGCUCGUGUCGUGAGAUGUUGGGUUAAGUCCCGCAACGAGCGCAACCCUCACUUUUAGUUGCCAUCAUUUAGUUGGGCACUCUGAAAGAACUGCCAGUGAUAAGCUGGAGGAAGGUGGGGAUGACGUCAAGUCCUCAUGGCCCUUACGUGUUGGGCUACACACGUGCUACAAUGGCAUUUACAAUAGGAAGCAAGACGGCGACGUUUAGCAAAUCCUAAAAAAAUGCCUCAGUUCGGAUUGUACUCUGCAACUCGAGUACAUGAAGCUGGAAUUACUAGUAAUCGCGGAUCAGCGCGCCGCGGUGAAUACGUUCCCGGGUCUUGUACACACCGCCCGUCACACCAUGGGAGUUGGUUCUACCUUAAGGCAAAGGUUAAAAACUUUGACCACGGUAUAGUCAGCGACUGGGGUGAAGUCGUAACAAGGUAACCGUA